GAGGGGGUGCGAGCGUUAUUCGGAUUUAUUGGGCGUAAAGGGUGCGUAGACGGGCGAGUCAAGUCCGUUGUUAAAUUUUCCGGGCUUAACCGGGAAGUCAGCGAUGGAAACUAUCUUGCUAGAGGAUGGAAGAGAGAAGUGGAAUUCCCGGAGUAGCGGUAAAAUGCGUAGAUCUCGGGAGGAACACCAAUGGCGAAGGCAGCUUCUUGGUCCAUUCCUGACGUUGAUGCACGAAAGCGUGGGUAGCAAACAGGAUUAGAUACCCUGGUAGUCCACGCCGUAAACGAUGAUCACUAGAUGUUGGUUUGGCUUAGCCGGAUCAGUAUCGUAGCUAACGCGUUAAGUGAUUCGCCUGGGGACUACGGUCGCAAGACUA
rnacentral:rRNA from 1 species